rnacentral:snRNA from 1 species
AUAUAUGGAUGUAUGUAUAUACUAAAAUUGGAACGAUACAAAGAAGAUUAGCAUGGCCUCUUCGCAAGGAUGACACGCAAAUUUGUGAAGAGUUCCAUAUUUUU